ACCGCGAGCAGGUGCGCAAGCAGGUCAUAGUGAUCCGG
rnacentral:rRNA from 1 species